rnacentral:rRNA from 1 species
UGAGGAAUAUUGGUCAAUGGGCGCAAGCCUGAACCAGCCAUCCCGCGUGAAGGAAGAAGGCGCUAUGCGUUGUAAACUUCUUUUCCAGGGGGAGAAUUUUUCCGUCGUGACGGGAAUUGACGGUACUCUGGGAAUAAGCAUCGGCUAACUCCGUGCCAGCAGCCGCGGUAAUACGGAGGAUGCGAGCGUUAUCCGGAUUUAUUGGGUUUAAAGGGUGCGUAGGCGGAUAGAUAAGUCAGUGGUGAAAUUCUGCAGCUUAACUGUAGACUUGCCGUUGAUACUGUCAGUCUUGAGUAUGGUCAAGGCAGGCGGAAUGUGUAAUGUAGCGGUGAAAUGCUUAGAUAUUACACAGAACACCGAUUGCGAAGGCAGCUUGCUGGGCCAUUACUGACGCUGAUGCACGAAAGCGUGGGGAGCAAACAGG